rnacentral:rRNA from 1 species
UACGAAGGGCCCGAGCGUUAAUCGGAAUCACUGGGCUUAAAGCGUACGUAGGCGGACCUGCAGGCGUCUUGUGAAAUCCCUCCGCUCAACGGAGGAAUUGCUUGGCGAACCGCAGGUCUUGAGACAGGUAGGGGUUGUCGGAACGAUAGGUGGAGCGGUGAAAUGCGUAGAUAUCUAUCGGAACGCCGAAGGAGAAAUCAGGCAACUGGGCCUGUUCUGACGCUGAGGUACGAAAGCGUGGGUAGCGAACAGG